GAGAAACAAAACUUGUCAUCAUGAUCUGAAUAAUCCUAAUUCAUGAAUUUUCUGCAGUUUGGAGCUUUACAUAAGCAAGGGACUUUGAAUUCAUCUGGCUCAUCCGGAUCAAACAAGUAGUCAUACCUGUCAGGGACUAAAAUGAUGAUUCACUCCAAAAUGCAUGGUGAAAUGAUACAGGAAAGCAUAGAUAGGGAAUAUACGUUAGCUCAUCACCAGCAGAUACGUUAGUCUUGGCAAUGAGGGCGAUCCGGCUCUCGUCAUGACCCACACUCAUGAUCCUUGCAUAGCAAUUUGGCAUACACUGUAUUAACAUAAAUCAAGAAGGGGUAAGAUGACAUGACUAAUAACCAUUAACCAGUAAUAUGUACUAAAACGAAUAAACAUAGGCCGAUAUCAGCUGUUUUCAA